GCUUUUGCAAUUUUAGAGUUUUUUUUAAUACUGGUAGCCAGAUUUUGUUCAUCUUCAUGGUUUCCUCCUUUCUGUUGAAAUUGUCCACAUGCCUCUUGUGGAUUUCAAUGGCUUCUCUGUGUAGCCUGACAUGGUGGCACUGCAGACUCCUUCAACCAGAGAAGUCAGCCAUAGCAGAGCACCUGAUGAACCAGCCUGGACACAGCAUAUUAUUUGAGAACACAGAAAUGCUGGACCACACCAACAACCACCAUGUCAGACUACACAGAGAAGCCAUUGAAAUCCACAAGCAUGUGGACAAUUUCAGCAGAAAGGAAGAGACCAUGAAAAUGAACAAAAUCUGGCUACCAGUAUUAAAAAACUCUAAAAUUACAACAGCAAAACAGCAGAGAGGAAACAACCAGGCACAUCUUAACACCUCUCAACAAAAGAUUUUCCCAGGCUCAGCCAGGCCUUCAAAUGCUAAUGAAGGUGGUCAGUUGAAA